UACGUAGGGUCCAAGCGUUGUCCGGAUUUACUGGGCGUAAAGAGCGCGUAGGCGGCUUGUUAAGUGUGAAGUGAAAUCUCCAGGGCUCAACCCGGAAACUGCUUUACAUACUGGCAAGCUGGAGUGAUGCAGAGGUUUGUGGAAUUCCUGGUGUAACGGUGAAAUGUGUUGAUAUCAGGAGGAACACCCAUGGCGAAGGCAGCAAACUGGGCAUCAACUGACGCUGAGGCGCGAAAGCGUGGGUAGCAAACAGG
rnacentral:rRNA from 1 species